UUAGUUUAAUUCUAACUAAAAGAUUAGUAAUACUAAAAAAUUUUAUGCCAAACUUAAGUAAAUCACAUUUAUAACAAUAUAAAUAAAUAUCUAUUUAUACACUUAUUCUAGCAGAAGUUAAAAUUAUAAUAUAUACGUUAAAGCGUGAAAUGGUUUAAACAUCAUUAUUGGUAAAAUUUGUGCCAGCAACAGCGGUUAUACAAUAGAUAUCUAACAACCAAAAUCUGUAAAGAUAAAAUAUUUAUGAAUUAAAAGUAAAAUUUCCUUAAUCCAUUAAGUAUUUAUGCUAUCAUAAACAAACUAUAAACUAAAACAAGGAUUAGAUACCCUUCUAUUAUUAGCUUAAAAUAAGAUUGGAGAUUACAAGCAAUAGCUUAAAAACCCAAGAAUUUGGCGGUGUUUUAUUCAAUCAGGGGGACCUGUACUUUAAAUCGACAGUCCACGCUAAACUCUAUCUAAUUUUAAUAAUUUAGCUUGUGUACUGCCGUUUAAUAAGCUCUUUAGGUGCUCUUAUAAUUAAUAUAAAAAUUAUAAGUCAGGUCAUAGUGCAGCCUAUAAUUAGAUAGUAUAUGGGUCACAUCUUUAAAAAUAAAAUCAAAACUAUAAAUUAACUUUAUAGUAAAUUUAGGACUUGAUAGUAAUUAUAGAAUUAUUUAUACUAUAAUGAAUAUGAACUUAAAACAAGUACACAUCGCCCGUCACUCCUUUAUACAGGAUAAGUCGUAACAUAGUAGAUGUAAUGGAAAUUGCAUCUGU
rnacentral:ncRNA from 1 species